AACGUAGGGGGCGAGCGUUAUCCGGAAUUACUGGGCGUAAAGCGCGUGCAGGCGGCUUGGUAGGUUGGACGUGAAAGCUCCUGGCUUAACUGGGAGAGGUCGUUCAAAACCGCCAGGCUUGAGGACGGAAGAGGGGAGUGGAAUUCCCGGUGUAGUGGUGGAAUGCGUAGAUAUCGGGAGGAACACCUGUGGCGAAAGCGGCUCCCUAGUCCGUAUCUGACGCUCAGACGCGAAAGCGUGGGGAGCGAAC
rnacentral:rRNA from 2 species